CUUCUCCAAAUGUUUGCACCUCCAUCAAAGCGGCGGGGCAAGCCCCGGAGGAAGCGCGCCCGGAUCCCGCAGCCGCGCCAGGCUGGAACGUUCGCGCGGCCUCACCUGUCCCCGCUCCAGGCGCGCCUCCCUCCCCUCCCAGGGACGAGCGCAUUUGGCCGGGCUUUGGGAUGCGCCGCGCUCGUCUCGCCGCAGUAGUAGUGCUGUUCUCGCGCCUCCGAUGCCUCAACUCUCCAGUCUGGCAGUUUCCGGUGCACCUGUCCCCACACGUCCCUCGCCCACGGAGCCCCAGGCGGCGUUACGCACACCCAGGAUCGUGGAUCAGCCUGCCCCGGCGUCGGGUGUCCCCGCGGCUCUCACCAUCUGGAAAAGGAAGGACUUGUUGCCGAGGUCAGCGCGCGCAUCGAGUGUGCCAGGCGUGUGCGUGGUUUCUGCUGUGUCAUUGCUUUCACGGAAGAGAGAAUGUCUGAAGCAUUGAAGAGUACGACCCAGGAAUUGAACCACCCAAGUCGGAGGAGGUAGAGGUUGGAAGUCACCGACUUUGGCCAGCACUUGUGUAGUGUCACCUGUCUUCACUUUCUAACGUUUAUUUUUCCUCCCCUUUCUGUGGCUGAUUUUCUGAUCUUUGUUCCUCGGUUCCCAGGACCAGGCCCACUCCCUCCGCCUUUUCAGCGAAGGCUGCAGUGCAUGACAGUUUACAGCCAAAACUUCCUCCAGCCCGGCUAUAAAGAAUUCCCAGUUAAUAACAAUGCGCUUCCUUGGGAGGAAAGAGGGGCUGAGGCACCGCCAGCUGUUUCGCUCCCAGGGUCUAUCUCUCCUUGGCAAGCCCAGCCAUUCAGAGAAAAACAAGACAAAGCCUUAUGGCUGGGCCUCAGGAUGCAACUGUCCCACCGAAAACAUGCUUGAAACAUUUUAUAAGAAAACACACACACACACCCCACUCGACUCCCAGAGAGGCAGUUUUCCUGGGCCCAAUCCCUUCUGAAAAAGCAAAGCCAUUUAUCUUUAGAAGCAGGCAACAAUGAAGCUGUAACAGGCUCAAGGAGGGGUGGAGGACAGCCUCGCGUGACUCUUACCCCACACUCUAGUCCCUCUCUUUCUGCAAGAAAAACAAAUGAAUUUCUUUUCUGAUUAUAUAUGUACUCCUUGUAGAAAUAUUAUAUAUGUAUCUGUCUUCAUAUAUAUGUAAAACAGUCACCCACAGUAUCUGUGGGGGAUUGGUUCCAGGACCUACAAAGAUGGCAGAAUCCAGGGAUGCCCUAGUCCCUUGGCAUGGUAUUUGCAUAUAACCUAUGGACUUCCUCCAUGAACUAUAAAUCACUUCUGGAUUACUUAUAAUACCUAAUACAAUGUAACACUAUGCAAAUAGUAGUUAUACUGUAUUGCUUUUUAUUUGUAUAAUUUUUAUUCUUUCAUUAUUGGGGAGAGGGAGUUUGGAAUGUUUUCUAUCAAUUCAACCAACCACGGAUAUGGAACCUGUGGCUAUGGAGGGCUGGCUGUAUGUUUAUCUCUCUCUAUGUAUAUAAAUGCUAACCUCAAGCACUAAGCAAUGUUCAUA
rnacentral:lncRNA from 1 species